UUUAGAGGUAAGAAAAAUAAUUUUUUUAAGUGUUAGCUUAGUAAUAUGUAAUAAAAAGAAAAAAGAUAACUAUAGAGUAAAAGUACUGUGAAGGAAAGAUAGAAUAAUAAUAGUAGUAAAAAUAAAAGUUUGUACCUUGUGUAUCAGGGAAAAUCAAUAUAAAUUAAAGUUAUAGUAAUCCCGAAAUAAAAAUAGCUAAUUUUAUAAAAAGUUAUUGUAGGAAUAAUAUUUUGAAUGUAAAAUUAAAGGUGAAAUACUAAACGAGUUUUAUUAUAUCUGGUUUCUUAAAAAUUAAAUUUAAUUUAGCUUUUAUAGUAAUAUUAUGUAAAAGUAGAAUGUAGGAGGGAUAAGCUUCUUAUAUAGGUUAAUAAAGAGUUAAGUUAUAAAUGUUUUAUAAAAUUAGGCUUAAAAAUAGCCAUAUUAAUAAAGUGUUUUAAUUAAAUAAAAAAAAUGAAAUAUAAUUUAUAAAAACUUUAAGUGGUAUUAAGAGUUUCAUAGAAUCGGAAAUAGUGAAGAUAUAAUGAUUUUAUUAGUAAAAAGUAGUGUAAUUAUAGUAAAUAGUGAAAUAAAGUAAUGUUAAGAUGUAUUAAAUUUGAAGUAUUAUAAAGGAACUCGGCAAAUAUUUUUCUUUGCCUGUUUAUCAAAAACAUGUCUAUUUGUGGAUAUAAAUGGUCUAGUCUGCCCACUGAUAAAAUAAGUUUAAAGGGCCGCGGUAUUUUGACCGUGCAAAGGUAGCAUAAUCACUAGUUUUUUAAUUGGAAUCUCGUAUGAAUGGCUGGACAAAAGAAAGUCUGUCUCUAUAAUAAUUAUUGAAUUUAACUUUUAAGUGAAAAGGCUUAAAUGAUUUGAAAAGACGAUAAGACCCUAUAAAGCUUGAUAUAAGUUGUAUAUUAUUAUAGAAUUUUAUAAUUUAUAAAGAUAUAUUGUGCAGUUUUUAUUUUAUUGGGGCGAUAGAGGUAGAAUUUUUAAUAACUGCUUAGACUUUAUGACAGUAUAAGUGAUUAGUUUGUAAAAGAUCCUAAAUAAAGAUUAAAAGGUUAAGUUACUUUAGGGAUAACAGCGUAAUUCUUUUUGAGAGUUCUUAUCGAAAGAAGAGUUUGCGACCUCGAUGUUGAAUUAAAAGUUCUUUACAAUUGUAGGAGUUGUAAAAGAAGGUCUGUUCGACCUUUAAAUUUUUACAUGAUUUGAGUUCAGACCGGCGUGAGCCAGGUCGGUUUCUAUCUUUCAGAGUUAUAAAAAUUACUUUAGUACGAAAGGAUUAGGUAAUUUAAAUUGUUUAAGGAUUGGUAAU
rnacentral:rRNA from 1 species